GAUUUUUUAUUUUCGUUGACCGUUAUUUAGUGACGCGUGUAAGUUACCAGUAUUUAAAAUAAAAUAAAACAAAGGAAGAAGGAUUGGGCAGAGCUGCCUAAUCAGAAGAGAGAAUGAAGGAGAAAUCAUGUCGAUUGGGGAAAAACGAAACGAAUCAGAGAACAUAAAGGGGAUGGACGAAUUGAGGAAGGAGAGAAGGAGAGGAUGGCCCAAUCAGAAACA
rnacentral:lncRNA from 1 species